GGUUAAGCGACUAAGCGUACACGGUGGAUGCCCUGGCAGUCAGAGGCGAUGAAGGACGUGCUAAUCUGCGAUAAGCGUCGGUAAGGUGAUAUGAACCGUUAUAACCGGCGAUUUCCGAAUGGGGAAACCCAGUGUGUUUCGACACACUAUCAUUAACCGAAUCCAUAGGUUAAUGAGGCGAACCGGGGGAACUGAAACAUCUAAGUACCCCGAGGAAAAGAAAUCAACCGAGAUUCCCCAAGUAGCGGCGAGCGAACGGGGAGCAGCCCAGAGCCUGAAUCAGUGUGUGUGUUAGUGGAAGCGUCUGGAAAGGCGCGCGAUACAGGGUGACAGCCCCGUACACAAAAAUGCACAUAUUGUGAGCUCGAUGAGUAGGGCGGGACACGUGGUAUCCUGUCUGAAUAUGGGGGGACCAUCCUCCAAGGCUAAAUACUCCUGACUGACCGAUAGUGAACCAGUACCGUGAGGGAAAGGCGAAAAGAACCCCGGCGAGGGGAGUGAAAAAGAACCUGAAACCGUGUACGUACAAGCAGUGGGAGCACGCUUAGGCGUGUGACUGCGUACCUUUUGUAUAAUGGGUCAGCGACUUAUAUUCUGUAGCAAGGUUAACCGAAUAGGGGAGCCGAAGGGAAACCGAGUCUUAACUGGGCGUUAAGUUGCAGGGUAUAGACCCGAAACCCGGUGAUCUAGCCAUGGGCAGGUUGAAGGUUGGGUAACACUAACUGGAGGACCGAACCGACUAAUGUUGAAAAAUUAGCGGAUGACUUGUGGCUGGGGGUGAAAGGCCAAUCAAACCGGGAGAUAGCUGGUUCUCCCCGAAAGCUAUUUAGGUAGCGCCUCGUGAAUUCAUCUCCGGGGGUAGAGCACUGUUUCGGCAAGGGGGUCAUCCCGACUUACCAACCCGAUGCAAACUGCGAAUACCGGAGAAUGUUAUCACGGGAGACACACGGCGGGUGCUAACGUCCGUCGUGAAGAGGGAAACAACCCAGACCGCCAGCUAAGGUCCCAAAGUCAUGGUUAAGUGGGAAACGAUGUGGGAAGGCCCAGACAGCCAGGAUGUUGGCUUAGAAGCAGCCAUCAUUUAAAGAAAGCG
rnacentral:rRNA from 1 species